GACGCCGCCAGCUUCGCGACGCCGACGCCGACGCCGCUCGCCCCUCCCCCCGUCCCCCGCGGUAAUUCUGCGCGCGCCGUCAGCCUCGCGACGCCGUCUUCCCCGAUUGACCCCCUCCCUCCCCUGUGCUCGCGACGCCGCCUUCCCCGAUGGACCCCGCAGCAAUUCCGCCCCCGUCGCGCCUCCCACGCCGCACCACGUGACCCUCCGUCGCGGCACCGUCACCCUGCCACGCCGCCGCAGCCUGCAACGCCGACUCCCCGUCGCAGCACUGUCACCCUACCACGCCGCCUGGAGGGAGUCAAGUUCAGGAUGACAGUCGAGAUCCCGCCGCCCGAUGACUUCAAGGGAACCCGGUGAGGAAGAUAGCGAAAAGGCCGGACACAAUUGUUGUCUGUGGUGUGCCGUCCAGGUGGUUUGCGGAAACAAGAGUAUCAUCCAAGCCAUCUACACUGGUCAUGCACACAAUUUUCUCAGCACUAGGUAAAAUAAGAUCAUAGGUUUUUACAUUGGACUUUUGGAAGAGUGGACAGAAAGGUUUCUUAAAUGUCAUUUAUUCUGUACAUUCUUUUACAGUCAAGAUCGCAUUUUUGCUUUCUGUACUGCAUAUAUAGAAUCCUAUUCAAAAUGUUGGGCCUAUCGUCACAAUAAUCCCAUUAUAAGUUUGAUCAGUGGUUCAUGUUUUGCUGAAAUGGACAUAACUGAUAAUACUCUAUUGAUUCAUUGGCAGCAAGUUCGAUUUGCAUUUGUUUGUUGGGAUUCUGAUGUUAGGAGGGAACUAAUAAGAUGUAGCCUAUUGGUUCACAAUUAGGUUUUAAUCAUAUAGAUGAAUUUCUCAGUAAUCCAUUUUUUUAUCUAUAGAAUUGUGAGUUUUAUGUUUUCUUUAAGUGAGUUCCUUUGAAAAUAUUUGUUUUACAGCAGGGUCUCCCUUCCCCUGUUGAUUUUAGUAAUAUUUACAUCCUUCCUGAGUUCGGGCCCAUCCUAAGCUUUGAUCAGGUGGUUCAGGAGG